UUAAUUUCUCCGUUUUGGGUUUAUUCCACCAUCGCCAACCUUCACGAUACGUGGCUUCUGUAUUUCCUCACCGCCUCACCUGCCACUCCUCUUAUGCCAUCUUCAUGAUCCACCGCCUACUUCUCUCCAUGUUUUACGUCUUUUCUCCCAAAGAGGGUUGCUUUACCGGGGUUAAGGUACCGCUUCUAUCAUCUUAGUAGACAACCUUCCCAAUCCAUAUCCACUGCUUCUUUCUUCCACAGUAAAGUUCCAUCCACCGACUCCACUGCCUGCUUUCAUCUGCAUUUCUUUCGUCACGAUCCCUUCCCUAUCUGCUAUUCGACUCUUCAAUUCCGCCAUAGCCGACGCCGACGAGUAUGCGUACACCACAGACGUCUCCGACGAGUCUUCCCCCACCAUUGUAGAAGCCGGCGAGCCCUAAUUUCGUGUACCUUUACUUCAACUCCGGCCACAUCCACACCCGACGAGUCAUGCUUCGAUUCCGGAUACAUUCAAUGUCGGGUCUCCCUGUGCGAUUCAUUGUUAAUAGACUUUGUGUGAGAUUAAAGUCACCUCUUUUCUCCCCUCUCUUUUCUUCUUAUGAUGGUACUGGAAUUCAAUGCUAUUGCUCAAAUGAAAAUCAACAGGUACAACACAACUAAUUUUGAGUUUCUUACUUCCCACUAUUGUUGUUGGUUGCAGCCUCAAAUCAACCAGCGUUCUCCUCUACCAUCCUCUGUUUUAGACCCUAAUCCGGGUAACCUUUCGUUCGUGUUUUCUUCUUUCUCCAUGUCUACUGUAUGGUCUAAAGAUGCAUAAAUUGGUGUGAAAUCAAGAUCAGAGACGAUAAUGGAAACUACAAUCAUCUAUCAUUCUUUGGGAAAGGUACCCACUUUUUUUUGUUACUUUUGUAACAUUUUUCAUAAUUUACAUCAUAAUUUUAGUUUUGCAUCAUAUUUGGUGUGUCAAUGAGUUAUGUGCCUGUGAAUUACGAUGAUUUUGGUGUUUGUUGCUGCAUUAUGGUUACAGUUUUACAUGGAAUGUGGGAAAGAAGUUCAGUUAAAGGUAAAUUUCAUAUUUUUUUUACUUCACUGCUCUUUAGAAAUUGGGUCAUCUACUUUCUUUUAGUUUUUGUUUAAAGUCAACAUUUCGAUAGAGCUUGAGAAUGACAUGACAUGAUAUAACUACCUAAAAUACCCAAGAGAUCAAAUAUGAGUUUUUCUUAAAAAAAAUUGCUCCAAUGGAUAAAUACUCAUGAAUCCAACAUGCUCAGAUGAAAACUCUAUAGUUGGAGACUGAUUUUCUACUGGGUUUUUUUUGGUAUCAGGUAGUUUUGGGGAUUCAUGUAUUUUUUCCUAAUUUGAGGUUAGAUUCCACUGGAAUUAAACCAAUCUCUCGCCCAUGUUCAUUUGUUCCUUUGGUAAAUUAUAGAUUUUUAUUAAUACUUUCUGGUGUGUAAGUUCUUUUCUGUUUUUAGUUUUGGACUCGCGAAGGUAUUGGAUUCGAUUUUACGGUUUUAUUGAAGGCUUAAUUUGGGGUUUUUUUAGUGUUGGAUACCUAUAAUCACUUUCUCAAUCUAAUCUUUUGGUUGGUACUAAAUUUGUAAGGUUAUGUGAUUUAUCAUGUAUAUGUAAGGUCUUGGAACUCCAAACCAGUUAAAAAUUUUAACUCACAUCCGGUGUGGUGAUUGUUACUAUCUGAUGAAAGCAAAAGUAGCACAAGAGGGAGGUUCAGCAGGACUUAUGUUUAUAAGUGAUACCUAAGGUUGUACAUAUAUUUAUAAAUUUUGUUGCUUGCAUGAAAUGAAUGAAUAAAUAAUAAUGAUGGGGCACCAUUGAAUAUUUAAGUCUGUGUUGCAUGUAUUGUGGAGAUGAGUUGCUCUGAAAAAAGUGAGUUGGACAUGCAUAUUCCCGUUGUUAUGAUCUCUAUCUGGCAAAGGCAAAGUGGAAGUUGUAGUAUAUGCACCGGAAAGCCCAUUGAUUGACCAUGUAUCAACAUUUUUAUGGUUGAUAGCAGCUGGAACAAUAGUAUGUGCUUAACUUUGGUCUAAUAUCACUAAAAUUAAUGACACCAAUCAACCCUACAACCAACUCUCACGAAAGGUUGAGGAGGAGGAGAAUUAAAUUAUUGAGAUGAUUUGGUGCUGCUGUAUUUGUUUGUCAUCUUGGUUUGUAUGGCUGCUCAUUGUUUUUUUCGGCAUUGGAGCUGUCGAGGGGAUGCUUUCCUGUAUAUAGUAUAGUAGCACUCUUAAAAAGGUUUUUUUUUUUUUUGUGAAGGCUUAAUGGUCAACAUCAACUUUAUGUAUCAUAUAUAAUAUGUAUUUAUUGUUGCAGCAAAUAUAGAUGUUGUGGAAAAAAAGAUAAGUGAAUGUGCCAUUUUUUGGGA